GGUGGCCUAACGGUUAGAGCGUCCGCUUCGUAUGCGGAAAGUACUGGGUUCGAACCAUACCAAAAACU